rnacentral:rRNA from 1 species
AGAGUUUGACUCUGGCUCAGAACGAACGCUUGCAGCGUGGAUUAGGCAUGCAAGUCGAACGAGAAGCUAUCACUUCAAUCUUUCGGGAGAGAAGUGGUGGCGGAAAGUGGCGGAAGGGUGAGGAACACGUGGGUAACCUACCUCGGAGUUGGGGAUAACUCGGCGAAAGCCGGGCUAAUACCGGAUGUGGUCCCCCAACGCAUGUUGGGGAGAUUAAAGAUGGGGAUUCUUCGGAACCUGUCGCUCGGAGAGGGGCCCGCGUCCUAUCAGCUUGUUGGUGAGGUAACGGCUCACCAAGGCUUACGGGUAGCUGGUCUGAGAGGAUGGUCAGCCACACUGGGACUGAGACACUGCCCAGACUCCUACGGGAGGCUGCAGUCGAGAAUCAUUUGCAAUGCGCGAAAGCGUGACAAUGCGACGCUGCGUGGGGGAUGAAGGCCUUCGGGUCGUAAACUCCUGUCAUUUGGGAACAAUAAUCAUACGGUUAAUAACCGUGUGGUCUGAUAGUACCAGAAGAGGAAGCCACGGCUAACUCUGUGCCAGCAGCCGCGGUAAUACAGAGGUGGCAAGCGUUGUUCGGAUUUACUGGGCGUAAAGGGUGCGUAGGUGGGUUCGUGUGUCGGAUGUGAAAUCUCACUGCUCAACGGUGAAACUGCAUUCGAAACUGCGAAUCUAGAGUACAUGAAGGGAGAGUGGAAUUCUUGGUGUAGCGGUGAUAUGCGUUGAUAUCAAGAAGAACACCGGUGGCGAAGGCGGCUCUCUGGCAUGUUACUGACACUGAGGCACGAAAGUUGGGGUAGCAAACAGGAUUAGAUACCCUGGUAGUCCCAACCGUAAACGUUGUGUACUAGGUGUGGGGGGAGUUGACCCCCUCCGUGUCGUAGCUAACGCGUUAAGUACACCGCCUGGGGAGUACGGCCGCAAGGCUAAAACUCAAAGAAAUUGACGGGGGCCCGCACAAGCGGAGGAGCAUGUGGCUCAAUUCGAUGCAACGCGAAGAACCUUACCAGGGCUUGACAUGCAGCUGCACGUCCAUCGAAAGGUGGAUUCCUUUGAGGGUGCUGCACAGGUGCUGCAUGGCUGUCGUCAGUUCGUGCCGUGAGGUGUUGGGUUAAGUCCCGCAACGAACGCAACCCUUAUGUUCAGUUGCCACUCCUGGUUUACCAGGAAGCACUCUGGACAGACUGCCCGUACAAGCGGGAGGAAGGUGGGGAUGACGUCAAGUCAGUAUGGCCCUUACGCCCUGGGCUGCACACGUGCUACAAUGGUCGGUACAAAAGGAAGCAAGACCGCGAGGUGGAGCAAAUCCUUAAAGCUGGCCCCAGUUCGGAUUGGAGUCUGCAACUCGACUCCAUGAAGUAGGAUUCGCUAGUAAUGGUGCAUCAGCUAUGGCACCGUGAAUACGUUCCCGGGCCUUGUACACACCGCCCGUCACAUCACGAAAGCCGUCUGCACCAGAAGUCACCGGUCCAACCUGCAAAGGAGGAAGGUGCCGAAGGUGUGGGUGGUGAUUGGGAUGAAGUCGUAACAAGGUA